rnacentral:lncRNA from 1 species
UUUUAAGAAUAUGAAGAGUGCUGUGUGGGGGGACAUAUCUUUAUCUCUCAGAGCAGUGAUCUAAUUGGAGGUUGUCCUUUGUGUUCACCCUGUUAACAUUUUAUACUAUUCUGGGAAACCCUGUGGCCCAAGUACUAUGGAAUGUAGUUAGGAAAAACAGUGUUUUCUCAAAUAUUUCUGAUGUGGAAUAUUUAUUUUGUAGCCAGAGAAACUUGUUCUGUUGCCAGGCAACUGACCAUGAGUAGGAUCCACUGCCAACUGUACUUGAAAAAAGGAAAAAGCCUCAUUACUUCUGCUCAGACUGCAUGUGAGCAUUUACAGUGCGGUGUAGAGAAAUUCUCAAAUAUAAUCUGCACAACAGGAUUCACUGUUAGUUGCCUCAGGUGAGUAUGGUCUUUUCCUGUCACUGUCCCCUGAGUCAUGUAUAAUCACCAUUAGCAACCAACCGGAAGAGACACCAUCGAAAAUAUUGGUGCAGGAAGUUUGGUUGCUUUCAAAAGCCUUCUGUUUUGAAGUCUGCUUCAUCAGAGCCCUAGAUAAUGAAUUUGCUCUUUGCUGGGCCCCUGAUCCAAAAUCAGGCAACAUCCUCAUAUGGAGCUCAGAAUUCUACUCAGAUCAUUUUGUUGACUUCAUACAUAGUUUCAUAAUUCAGGUACACAAGUUGAUUUUCAGAGGAGCUAAAGAUGUUCAGCUUGCAUGUAACACAUGAAGGCUAAGAUGAGAGUGCAACACAUCUGUGUAGUUGCUAAAAGAGGAAGAGAACCAAGAAGCACCUUUUCUUCCUUUGAGCCUUGUCAUUCUAUGGUAGCAAAGCUCAGGAUCAGCAGCUAUGCACGCAGGAAACAAUUACUGUCUACGCAAACCAAACUGCAAGAGAUGAGAAAUUUGGGAUGGCUAUAUGGCAGCUUGACCUCAAUUGUAUAUAAGUAUGUGAAGGAUGAAGGAACAGAGGCAGCACUCACUCAGCAAUGACCAAACAGCGGUGUGUUGUUAACCCCAUCUGGACUGAAACCAGGGCACAUUGUGCAAUGCAGUGCUAGCUCAAGUUAUGGCAAAUAAGUUUAUGGAUUUUGGUACGUUGGCUAGACACAGUUCUGUGAACAGCAAAAAUGUGCAGCCAUGCUUUCUGCUUUGAUAAUGGAAUUUGAGAACUGAUUUAAAGAUUGCAAAAAAAUAAUUUUUUUGGCUUAUUUUUGAC